rnacentral:tRNA from 1 species
AUCUAAAUAGUUUAUGUUUAAAAUAUUGAUUUGUGGUGUCAAUGAUAUGAAUUAGUCAUUUUAGAUC